rnacentral:rRNA from 1 species
CCUACGGGCGGCAGCAGUGGGGAAUAUUGGACAAUGGGCGAAAGCCUGAUCCAGCCAUGCCGCGUGUGUGAAGAAGGCCUUCGGGUUGUAAAGCACUUUCAGUGGGGAAGAAAGCCUUGGGGCUAAUACCCUCGAGGAAGGACAUCACCCACAGAAGAAGCACCGGCUAACUCCGUGCCAGCAGCCGCGGUAAUACGGAGGGUGCGAGCGUUAAUCGGAAUUACUGGGCGUAAAGCGCGCGUAGGCGGUCUGAUAAGCCGGUUGUGAAAGCCCCGGGCUCAACCUGGGAACGGCAUCCGGAACUGUCAGGCUAGAGUGCAGGAGAGGAAGGUAGAAUUCCCGGUGUAGCGGUGAAAUGCGUAGAGUUCGGGAGGAAUACCAGUGGCGAAGGCGGCCUUCUGGACUGACACUGACGCUGAGGUGCGAAAGCGUGGGUAGCAAACAGGAUUAGAUACCCCUGUAGUC